rnacentral:rRNA from 1 species
ACUCCUACGGGAGGCAGCAGUGGGGAAUAUUGCACAAUGGGCGCAAGCCUGAUGCAGCCAUGCCGCGUGUAUGAAGAAGGCCUUCGGGUUGUAAAGUACUUUCAGCAGUGAGGAAGGUGAGUGUAGUUAAUAGCUGCUAUUAUUUGACGUUAGCAUAGAAGAAGAAGCCGACCGGCUAACUCCGUGCCAGCAGCCGCGGUAAUACGGAGGGUGCGAGCGUUAAUCGGAAUUACUGGGCGUAAAGCGCAUGCAGGUGGUUUGUUAAGUCAGAUGUGAAAGCCCGGGGCUCAACCUCGGAA